AGCCAUAGACAGCAGCACUGACCUCCUGCUCUGGCUCCCUUGGCCAGCAAGGUGUCACAAAACCGGUUUCCCAAAACCCAGCCCAGGAGGAUGAUCCAGCUUGGCUCAGCUGCAUUUGAAUGUUAUAUCAGUUCCGUGGCAUGAGAGAAGAUCCAGGAUGUUUUGGAACUGAGGAACUAUUUUGAGCAAACAAAAGGUGCUGCAGUGUGGUUUGCAGUUAUCAGAUGAACCGUCUCAGCCACCUGCCCUUUCAGAGCUAGUGCUUCAGGCAUCCUGACCACACCUCCUGAUUUGGCUUCACCACCAUGCAGAUGCAGUUUCCACCAGAUAUUUUGGUUCCUCGCUUACUCCUCUGACUGAUGCUCCUUUGGGGAAGGUGGGAUGAGAGAGGGUUGUAGAGCUGGAUCGCCUCAAGAGGUUGUGCAACCCAUUUCUUGUUGAACACAGAAGCAACUAUGCCCAGGUUAUUCCUGGCAGAUGUUUGUCUAAUCUACUCUGAGGAAAUCUUGAAUGAUGGAGAUUCCACAGCCUUUCACAGCAGUCUAUUCCCCUGCUUGACAUCUGAAACAUACAUAAAUCAGAGGACAUUCAGAGAUGCUGAAAGGCAGCAAGAUGCUUGCCUCUUCUAACAAUAAAAAUAUAUUACUUACUUAA